rnacentral:tRNA from 1 species
GGAGAGGUGCCCGGAGCGGCUUAUCGGGGACCUGAGCUUCGGCUCGACGGUCGGGUCUUAUGGAUCCGCGCAGGUUCGAAUCCUGCCCUCUCCG